rnacentral:tmRNA from 1 species
ACCAAGCAAAACACAAAUGCCAAUACAGAAAUGGCUCUUGCUGCCUAGUUAAUUCUAGCCACCAAGUGUUUCCCCGCAAGUCAGCUUGAAGCGCGCGGAUGAAGCAUAACUUAUUUUAAGCUAGCGCAUUUUCUCCGUCUGCGAAAAUGCGCGAAAUGUUAGCCGGGCUAGCUUUUCGUCAGGUCUUGUCUGUUCACUUACUGGCGAUGAGCGAAAUUAAAUAGAGAACUGAAUAAACGUGUAGAUUCCCUCGGUCGCAACCUUUGGAUGCGGGUUCGAUUCCCGCCGCCUCCACCA